GGCAGAAAUAUCUUGGUCAAAUCCAGUCAUCUCCUCUGUCUUUCCACUGGAGGAAAAUGGAGAGCUCUCCAGAAAUGGGAAAUUCUCUCAGAGGGCAUAAUGAGGAAGGAUGUGGCUGUGACUCGUGGGCCAUUUUAUGAGCUGCACAGUUGCCUUGGGGGAGACUCUGCAAGCAUCUGAAAAUUUGGUAGGAGGGCGUAGUAUUGAGUGAAGACUAGCUCUUACAAAGGGAAAAUCUUCUGCACAGGCUUAGUACCAAGACUUUUUUCUAUUGCCUUCCUCUGGAAGUCUGCCUACUCAAAAGCGCUUAAGAUAUCCAAGUCAGCUACGUGGGAUGAAAUCCUGGCCCUGAUGAAAAUCUUGCAUGGAGUUCCUUGGGGCCAGGGUUUCUCCCUUUUGUUUUACAAAUAAGAACAAGAACAUGGAUAUAUGGAUUUUUAAACUAAUAAUACAAAACUACAUAUGUACAAGUAAUAAAUUACAGACAAGCUGCAUACUAUCAAAUUCUUCACAAAAAUAAAAUCCUGAAGGGCCCCAUUCUCCUCAACUAAUGAUCCC